UACGAAGGGGGCUAGCGUUGCUCGGAAUCACUGGGCGUAAAGCGCACGUAGGCGGGUCCUUAAGUCAGGGGUGAAAUCCCGGAGCUCAACUCCGGAACUGCCUUUGAUACUGGGGAUCUUGAGUCCGGAAGAGGUGAGUGGAACUCCGAGUGUAGAGGUGAAAUUCGUAGAUAUUCGGAAGAACACCAGUGGCGAAGGCGGGUCUCUGGACAGUUCCUGACGCUGAGGCACGAAGGUCAGGGGAGCAAACGGG
rnacentral:rRNA from 1 species